GGGCCCGCACAAGCGGAGGAACAUGUGGUUUAAUUCGAUGAUACGCGAGGAACCUUACCCGGGCUCGAACGGUGCAUGAAAGUUCAAGAGAUUGGACAGUCCUUCGGGACAUGUAUCGAGGUGCUGCAUGGUUGUCGUCAGCUCGUGCCGUGAGGUGUCGGCUUAAGUGCCAUAACGAGCGCAACCCUUGUCAUUAGUUACCAUCAGGUUAAGCUGGGGACUCUAGUGAGACUGCCACCGUAAGGUGUGAGGAAGGGGGGGAUGACGUCAAAUCAGCACGGCCCUUAUGUCCGGGGCGACACACGUGUUACAAUGGGAGGUACAGAGGGCAGCCAGUUAGUGAUAACGAGCCAAUCUCAAAAACCUCUCUCAGUUCGGAUUGGAGUCUGCAACUCGACUCCAUGAAGUUGGAUUCGCUAGUAAUCGCGCAUCAGCCAUGGCGCGGUGAAUACGUUCCCGGGCCUU
rnacentral:rRNA from 1 species